ACACGAUAACGUAUGUAACGCUGUUUCUCAUUCCUUGCAUAAAAAUAUGAGAGCUCAAGUAAUGCCUUAUCAGUUUUUUGGGUUUUUUUUUUUUUUUUUGGUAACAGUUUGAAUCUUAAAGCUUACCUUAAGUAUCGUUCACGGAUGCCAGACAAAAAGAAGAGAGUUAAGAUACAAAUGAUUUCCUGGGACUCUCUAUUUUACAGUAAGGAUGUCUUUUCUUUUUCUUAGGAAGCUACACAGAAGUCUCAUGCAAGUGGUGCCUGUUGUUUUCCUGACCGGAGCCUGCUUUCUUGAACAGGCAGUGACAUCCACUGGCUCUCAGCUGAACACCUUACAAUGUGCUGCUUUCAAAGUCUUCUCUGAGAGGCGCCAAAUAAAACAUAACUGAGAAAUAUUUUUGUUCUUUCUCCUACGUCUUCCUUUGGAUGCUAAAGCAGAGUGCAGUUCCUGUGUAGAAACUGAGGACAAAAAAGUAAGUGGCUUGUUUUAAUGUAAUUCAUGUUAGGCAUCUCUAGCAAGAUUUUUUUUUAAUUAAAUCAUAUGAAAUUGCCUUUUUUGUGGGUGUAUAUAUGUUAAGUUUCCUAACGAUAACUGUUCUAAUGUAGUUGUAUUGUAACUUGAGGAGGGGUAUUCUGCCUUGCUUUACUUGAACGGUCCUUUAUUGGAAAUUCCCUUCUGAAGAAGCAGUUAAGUAAAUUAUAACCAUGCAUUUGUUAAACUACUAACAGUUUAAAAACAACUGCAUUUCCUAUUCUU
rnacentral:lncRNA from 1 species